CAUAUCCAAACGGCAGAGAAGAAACCGAAGCAUGUUACGCUUGGAGAAAGAAUUUAGGCUUGGGAUUCCCGCCCCGCCUCUUUUGACCACACAGGUAAUCGCUAAAUAAGCUCAUCCUCGCCUGUAAAAUGAAAGUGUUCCCUGCGCCUCCCACGCGACCGGGAAGGCGUAUUUGUAUCACCGGGCCUCACACACCACCUAAGGGGGCAGACCGUUUACAGAUGCAAAUGCCAAAUAGGUAUCAAGUUUUGGAGAUCGCUUUGAUGAACGGGAAGAGUGUUCGCAAACUGCGCCUCUAGUGGGCUCCGGGCACGUUUCCUGCGGCUGGUGCAUCACGGGAAAGCUCCUAAUUCCUGCCUGGGCCCAGCACAUUCCUGCCUGGCGGGCCGCUGACCGAGCUGGGCAGUGGUUUGGUCUCCGAUGCGGAGGCAGGCCCUCCUGCUUGGCCAAGGCCCCGCCUCCCACGAAACGCCUGCAGGUCCUGAAGCCUGGCCCACUUCACCCCCAUUACUCGAUGGCCCCGUUGGGCGUUUUCACCAGAGACACCUGAAACGUAACAUGCCAACGUCGUUAAUGAGUCACAGGAAAGGAGGAAAGCCGGCUUUCUCCUGCAUCAUAGUUGUUUUCAGCGUUGGCCCCGCUAUCUAGCGGCGGAUCCGUUCCUCCCGCGAUCCGGGACUUGUUUGACGAGUCUGGUGAUGUGGCUCCAGGGCUAAUGGAACAGAAGGCGCCAGUGGGAAACGCCGGCCGCUGUUCGGCCGACUGGCGAUCUAGGAACCGCGGAGAGGCAAACCAGCCUCCGAGAAAUCCAUCGGCCCGGAUCCUCCCCGUUCUGCAUAAUAUUUUGAGGGAAGACACAGUUCUGAGGCUCAAAGGAAAACGAAAACCACUUUGCCAACUGAUCUCGGAGGCCAUCCAGCGCUCACAUCCCAGCAGCCCGGGGAGAAGAUGGUCUGUGUUUCCUAGUCCUUCGGCCUCUUGCAAUUGAUUCCGGCACCAAAGAGAAACCACACCCAGACGCCUGUCUGCAUGCUGCCUGCUGGGGGGACCAGAUGGCUGUCCCCUCCACCACCCGCCCCCCUGAUGGGAAAAGCUCUCCCUCCGAGUGUGAGACCCAUCACAAAGAAAGGGCUUUGUGUGAGGUUCUUUGCCAGGACCUCACCCUCCACUGCCUCAGAGGGAGCAUCUUCCCUUUGGCCUUUCCUGUUCACGUUCCCCUUAGAAAACCCAGCGGCCUUGCGGUAAGACGGGGCAUGGUUUUCCCUCUUGGCUAAAUAGUUUCAUGUGCCGUC